CCUACGGGAGGCAGCAGUCGAGAAUCAUUCACAAUGGGGGAAACCCUGAUGGUGCGACGCCGCGUGGGGGAAUGAAGGUCUUCGGAUUGUAAACCCCUGUCAUGUGGGAGCAAAUUAAAAAGAUAGUACCACAAGAGGAAGAGACGGCUAACUCUGUGCCAGCAGCCGCGGUAAUACAGCGGUCUCAAGCGUUGUUCGGAAACACUGGGCGGAAAGCGUGCGUAGGCUGUUUCGUAAGUCGUGUGUGAAAGGCGCGGGCUCAACCCGCGGACGGCACAUGAUACUGCGAGACUAGAGUAAUGGAUGGGGAACCGGAAUUCUCGGUGUAGCAGUGAAAUGCGUAGAUAUCGAGAGGAACACUCGUGGCGAAGGCGGGUUCCUGGACAUUAACUGACGCUGAGGCACGAAGGCCAGGGGAGCGAAAGGGAUUAGAUACCCGGGUAGUC
rnacentral:rRNA from 1 species